UGCAACAUCCUGGGGAACAAUUGGUGGAUAUAAAAGAUGAUAUUCAGAACCAACACUAACGGAACUCGAGCAUUGUGGAACAAGUCUUAAGGCAAAAAUGAGAGCACACGUCAUGGGAAAGGUAACGUGAGCACCAAAAGCUUUCGUUAAUGUUUCCCCACUUUAAAGUGGCUGCCUAAACGCAAACUCUCGUCCCUUCAUGGCGCCGCGGAGUGGCCGACGUCCAGUCUCCUCUGUGCGGAGCCUCUUUUCCGCGCGGCUGGCACAGCACUCACUACACUUCCCAGAGUUCCUGGGGUCUGGAAGAACUCUUUGGAAGAGGAAGCUGUGGUUUCCUUGGGGGUAUGUGGAGUCUGUGAAAAGAGAGCAGAAGAUGUGACUGGAGACUCCAUCUUGGCUGACCUCUGACCUUCAGGCGCCCAUUCUUGCUGCUCCGGCGGCUUGUAGAGCAUGACGACGGAGGGGUGUGAGAGGCUGGGCAGAGCUGCUGAAUUUCACGGGCCCCAGCCACCUGAAGGCCGGCUUCCUGGCUCUUUCCUCUCUGACAUGAACCUUCCUGAUGAGCUCCAGGCUGGUCAGCACAUUGGCGAUGUCAUACAGACGCCGCACCUUGGCUAAACGGGUAAAGAAAAUGAAACAUUUUUGGGCUGUAUUCCGAUUUUGGACCAAAACAGUGCGACGCGUUGUGGUUCUUUCUUACUUUUGUACUUGCUGUGGCUCGAGGAGUCCUGGCUCUCCUCAAUGAGGACCUUGGCUGCCGCGUCCAGGGUAACGGUUUGAGUUUUGGACACCAGGAAGAGCAUGACAAACUUCUGGCUCAUGAUGCGCAGAGAUUUGUCCUUUCUGUUGCCCCCGGCUGCAGAACGAAGCAGAUUUAAGUUCACACUCAGGCUAUUUGAGAAGAGGAAAUAUAAAUUUAUCAACAAAUGCCUAAAACAUUGGUAUUUCUCUGAUUGUCUUUUUGUUUUUUACCAUUUCCUGAGUCUCCAUCCCCUCCAUCUUCCUCCCGGCUCAGUCCGGACCUCCUGGCCUCAGCGGGCAGAUCCAUCUGCAGGUGGUAGCCCUGCUCCCGGCCCCUCCGCUGCAGCAUCUCCAGCGUGCUCCACAGCCGCUGUCGGCCAUACCAGGUGUAGCUGUUCUUGGCCAUCCGGCCCACGAUGGUCAGCGACUCCAGCACGUUGACGAUGUCAUAGAUCCGUCGGCGCUCCACUCCUGACAGCCGCAGUGGAAUUUAUGAAAUCGGCCCCGGGUUGUAAAAAGGGUCCAAAUACCUGAGUUGGGUCUUCUACCUCUGCAUCCUCCACCGCUGGUUCUGAGUCUACCACCUGGUCCACGUCGUUCUCUAUAGGUCUGAACAGAACCUUCUUCAUCUCCCUG